CGUCUUUCACCUCAAUUUCUCGCGUUAGAUCCCCAUCAAUCCAACGCUCACAAUUCUCAAGAAAAAUAAAAAGGAAUUAAUAAUAAUUUAAUCACGUGAUCGAAACUCAAAUUCCUACCACCUUGACCUUAUUAUUUGAUCACCAACAAACAUCAUCAUCAUCAUCUUUGAGAUUUCAACGUUGUGUUAUGCGUGUGAUUGUGAUCGCCAUUCAAAUAUCGGAUCCGAUAUUUGGGUCAAGACUGAAGGGCAAUUGAUUCGGAGGAUCCACCGAAAGAGGAGGAAUUAAGUAGGACAUGAAAGGAGAUGUUGGAUUGGAUCUUUGAAGCUUCCACCCUCCCUCCUCAGACUCUCUGAUCUCAUCCCACAUUCUCAUUAAACACGGAUCCAAUUUUCACGCAAAUCACCAUGUUUCUACACUGAAUUCAAUGAAGCUCAGCUUAGCUCAGAUCAUCGUCGUCUUCUUCAAUUUCGAUCCGAACCCACAACUUGAAUUCUCAACUGACUAACUACAAAUCAUCAAGAACAGAGAAGUACAAUUUGAUCUCAUUCCCAUUUGCUUGUAUGAAAUUUUCCUGUCCCUUAUUCUUUUUGGGCAUUGUUUUCUAAUGUGGUACGUGGACACUCCUCAUAGGUCAAAAUAGAAACAAAAGGAUCAUAACCAUCACACAUAUUCAUCUUUGAGUCGGAGAAUAAAGUUAGAGAAACUUUUUUAGCUUUUGGUCGUCCUGAUGAGCAACAAGCAGCCAGUGAAGCUAGACGACGAGCAAAUCGCGGACCUGCGUGAAAUAUUCCGGUCGUUUGAUCGAAACAACGACGGAAGCCUAACACAGCUGGAGCUGGGGUCUCUUCUGCGCUCACUGGGGCUGAAACCAGGGCCUGAUCAGCUGGAUACCUUGAUCCAGAAGGCAGACACCAACAGCAAUGGCCUUGUGGAGUUUUCGGAGUUCGUAGCCCUCGUAGCCCCCGAGCUUGUGUCGGCCAAGUCUCCUUACACGGAGGACCAGCUGAGGCAGCUGUUUCGAAUGUUUGACCGGGACGGCAACGGAUUCAUCACAGCUGCUGAGCUGGCUCACUCCAUGGCUAAACUCGGACACGCUCUUACGGCUGAGGAGUUGACUGGGAUGAUCAGGGAGGCUGAUACUGAUGGGGAUGGCAGGAUCGAUUUCCAGGAGUUUGCUCAUGCCAUUACUUCUGCUGCUUUUGAUAAUUCUUGGUCUUAGACAAUUCCCAGCUAGUUAAUUCAUUUCGGAAAUUCCAUCCAUCGGUUUUCUUUGUUUUCAGGAGCAUGCUAGGCAAUGUUGAUGAUGAUUUAAUUUUGAAGGGUUCACUUUUGAAUGGAAGGAUGGUGAAGAACUCAUGAUGGGAAAUAAUCUUUAUUCACAAGAGACCAAUGAUGAAGCAUCUUAUCUUUUUGGUCUCCAAAUUAAUGUUGUGAUGUGAUUCAUGGAAUACUUGAUGUGAUACAAAUUCCACACGUUAUGUAAAAUGUCUCGUGUGACUUGAAACCAAAGAUAGAAACAACUGAUUCCUUUGCACACCAUUCCAAUGUAAGCAAAAGAACUCCAAUGCUUAAGUUACACGAAAAGAAAUAACAACUCCUUUGCACACCA